CCUACGGGUGGCAGCAGUGGGGAAUAUUGCACAAUGGGGGAAACCCUGAUGCAGCGACGCCGCGUGAGUGAAGAAGUACUUCGGUACGUAAAGCUCUAUCAGCAGGGACGAAAAUGACGGUACCUGACUAAGAAACCCCGCCUAACUACGUGCCAGCAGCCGCGGUAAUACGUAGGGCGCACGCGUUAGCCGGAUUUCCUGGGUGUAAAGGGAGCGUAGACGGCAGCGCAAGCCUGGAGUGAAAUCCCAGGGCUUAACCAAGGAACUGCUUUGGAAACUGUGCAGCUAGAGUGCAGGAGGGGUAAGCGGAAUUCCUAGUGUAGCGGUGAAAUGCGUAGAUAUUAGGAGGAACACCAGUGGCGAAGGCGGCUUACUGGACUGUAACUGACGUUGAGGCUCGAAAGCGUGGGGAGCAAACAGGAUUAGAUACCCUUGUAGUC
rnacentral:rRNA from 1 species